GGGGCCUGCGGGUCGACGAUUCCUACGGGAGGCAGCAGUGGGGAAUAUUGGACAAUGGGCGGAAGCCUGAUCCAGCAACGCCGCGUGAGGGAUGACGGCCUUCGGGUUGUAAACCUCUUUCAGCACAGACGAAGCGCAAGUGACGGUAUGUGCAGAAGAAGGACCGGCCAACUACGUGCCAGCAGCCGCGGUAAUACGUAGGGUCCGAGCGUUGUCCGGAAUUAUUGGGCGUAAAGGGCUCGUAGGCGGUUUGUCGCGUCGGGAGUGAAAUCACCGGGCUUAACUCGGUGCUUGCUUUCGAUACGGGCAGACUAGAGGCAUUCAGGGGAGAACGGAAUUCCUGGUGUAGCGGUGAAAUGCGCAGAUAUCAGGAGGAACACCGGUGGCGAAGGCGGUUCUCUGGGAAUGUCCUGACGCUGAGGAGCGAAAGUGUGGGGAGCGAACAGGAUUAGAUACCCUGGUAGUCCACACCGUAAACGUUGGGCGCUAGGUGUGGGAUCCAUUCCACGGGUUCCGUGCCGCAGCUAACGCAUUAAGCGCCCCGCCUGGGGAGUACGGCCGCAAGGCUAAAACUCAAAUGAAUUGACGG
rnacentral:rRNA from 1 species